CCGACGCUACUACCUCCGGCUGGUCUGAGCUUUAACAAUCUUGUGUGACGCUGAGGAACCUUUGCUCGUGCGCGGCAGCUGUGACGUCGUUCGGCAUAUCAUCGAAAUAUUAUCUUGGAGAGGGUGUCAUUUGCGUUUACUUCUAUUUGCAAGAAAACAAGACUACGAAGACACGUAAGAGAGGGAUCGAGCAGUCUAGAGAAGAAAGUCUCACCGCGGAUUGAAGGCACAACUCAGGCUACAGUAUAUUCUUGUGUAGGCCUACCGAGUGGAAUUUCCGUAACUCCCCGAGAAAAUUUACGAGCACCGAGUUGAUGGGGUUUCCGUGCUUGCCCGAAUCUUACCACCUAAUAUCUUUACAAGAACUCCUCGGAACUCAGUUGCUCCCCUCUAUCACACGAAACGUCUCUAUCAGGGAUGAGGACUGUUACGAAUGUUAUGCCUACGUUUUUACAAAAAAAGCACGCG